rnacentral:hammerhead_ribozyme from 1 species
CAUUGGUUGUGAGCUGACGCCACUCUACUGUUGAGUCCAAGGCAGGACGAAACUAGUG